GCGAGUGUUAUUGCUUCUACAUUCCCUCGCCAGCGGCGUCCUGCUGGUAGACUGGACUUGUCUCCUCGCCCUGCACUACUACUGGUUCUGCACUCCCGUUUUCGACUGCGGUGGGUACCUAGCACGCUCCUGCACAUCGACUUUCCGUUCUGCGCUCCAAAGGAGAUUACUUCAGGCACCAGCAUCACCCGUUCCAUGAGCGACUGCUAUUGCUUCUAUGUUCUCUAGCCGACGGCGUCCUGCUGGCAUACUGGACUUAGCCUGGCGCCCUUGCACAUAAUUCUGGUUCCCAGUGUUUGCUGUCGCUUGGGGCGCAAGAGAAACGUUCCAACACUCCCAUUUACAAGAACAUUCCUGGCCUUGCCUCACGAGCAACUACAUUCAGCCCGGUCGCCCUGCCCCGUGCUCUAUACAAGCUUCCUCACAUUAAUGAACGCGUCGCACACCUGUCUUGGCGGUGUCCUGCACUGUGUUGACGGCGAGUUCAUGCUCUGAAGGACUGCGUGUGGUCACCGUCCCGAGACAAUCCAUAGGAUGUGCUCCUACAGUUCGCGGUUCCCUUUUUUUCCGUAGGCAUAUUCAAGUUUUGUGUAGCAAGCUUUUCUGUUUUUGAAGAGUGGCACGUUGCUCAGCGAAUGUAUAGCGCUUCUAGAAAUCGGGUUAAUACGAAGCAGUACAGUAAAGGUCUGGUUAAGUGGACACCACUCUGUACUUAGUAAGGACUGUCAUGUUUUCAUGAGCGGAUCUGUAAAUUUUUGGUGGCGAGAGUAAUGGACAUUCAUUCAUUGUGCUCUUUCGUAGUGUGUGUGUGAAAAACUAACUCUAGAUUCGCCGGUCUUCUGCGGUCUUCAGAUGGCUUCGUCCAUCUUCUAGCACAACGGUCGGUUGCCCUUAGUCCAGGGCUCCGCUGGAUGCUGCUGCCAGUUGUGCUCGCCGAAUCAGACCUUCUUGAUCGACCCGGCGUUCGGUGGAGAACACUCGCUCCCAUUGCUCCGCUCUCGGCUUUGGUAUAUAACGGGUACCACGUCUAUCUUCUGGCAUGCCCACGUUAUGUGAUAUAGCGUGGGUGUUUCGUGGCACCAGGGGCAUUUGUCAUUGUAUUGUGUGGGAUACAUUUUGCUGAGUACGUUUAUGUUCGGGUACGAGCCCGUUUGUAGCUGCCUCCACGCGACAGUGCUCUCUUCUAAGGGAGUUAGUUAUGCGGUGGUGGAUACCGCUCUCUGCAGUCCUUGUAGUAAUUUAGUAUCGCCGAAUAGUCUUUGGGUACAGGUUCGGUCCUCUCGAGGUCGCCUACGUUGGAUGCUCGGUAAUAAGUGUACCCUCGAUAGAACAACUUUUUUGAAGAAUAAAACGCUCAAUGGUUGGAGCCCCUAGACAAGGGCCCCACUGGAUUCCGCACGCCAUCUUGUUUGUUGGAUGAUGGCCCUUUGGACCUCUUCCUGUGAGCUGGACAGCGCCGCCUCCCAUUGUGUAUGAUCCGUAAUUUCUGUGUUUCUUUUGUGUAUAUGCCGUGCAUGCCCAUGAUAUGUGGUCUAAGGUUGGCGUG